UACAGAGGGGGCAAGCGUUGUUCGGAAUUACUGGGCGUAAAGGGCGCGUAGGCGGAACUUCAAGUCCGGUCUGAAAGCCCCCGGCUCAACCGGGGAGGGUGGCUGGAAACUGGGGUUCUUGAGGGCGAGAGAGGAGGGUGGAAUUCCUGGUGUAGCGGUGAAAUGCGUAGAGAUCAGGAGGAACACCCGGGGCGAAGGCGGCCCUCUGGCUCGACCCUGACGCUGAGGCGCGAAAGCGUGGGGAGCGAACGGG
rnacentral:rRNA from 1 species